rnacentral:rRNA from 1 species
GACAGAGGGGGCAAGCGUUGCUCGGAAUUACUGGGCGUAAAGGGCGCGUAGGCGGCCACCGCAAGUCAGUUGUGAAAUCUCUGGGCUUAACCCAGAAAGGUCAACUGAUACUGCGGGGCUAGAGUGCAGAAGGGGCAACUGGAAUUCUCGGUGUAGCGGUGAAAUGCGUAGAUAUCGAGAGGAACACCUGCGGCGAAGGCGGGUUGCUGGGCUGACACUGACGCUGAUGCGCGAAAGCCAGGGGAGCAAACGGG